rnacentral:misc_RNA from 1 species
GGGGGUCGGUGGAAGCACCCGAUAAUCACUGACACCGAUACUCUCCCUGUGAUAAAACCUUUCUAAUAACUUUAAAUUCAUAAAGGCGUAGGAAGUCCGCCUCACGACAUGGGGAACACUCAGGCCACCCCCGGGACGUCCGUCCUCUCUCCAGAGAUAGGACCCGCCACGAUGAAGAAUAGUUCCAAACCUGCCUUUAUUGCCACCGGAAGGAGCGAGGUCCAGAUCGGAAGUAAAGCCACCACACUCUACCUGAGCUCCUCCUCACUCAAACUUCACGACAAACGAUGUCACAGUCGGGAAUCGACCAAUGCCGGGCCUCCAAUCGGAACCGGAAGUCUGCCCCAAUCUCCAGUUCAGUCGGAAACAGACAAAGAAACUGUGGCAAAACCCGGAACCGCACCGGGCCGAAGCACGGCGUAUUCCCAGAGGUCCGAGCGAGAGGACAAUCCCUCAAGGGGAUCUGUCUCUCGGCUCCAGCCAAUCAGGGAAUUCACAUUUACCGGAUAUGACAUUAUGGCUGAUGUGACCCCCGAGCCCCCGGAGCCAGAGGAAGAGAUCAAGCCUAAAAAGAGGCUACAGGCGUACCUGGACUCGUGCUCUCACCUGGGAAUCACCCCCGUCACCUACCUCAGCAGACAGAUGUCCAACAAAGGGAUCGUCAUGCGGAACCACAGCAUUGGACCCAUCGGGGCACGGGCCCUCGCUAUUGCUUUAUUGAAUAACGACACAGUGACAAAUUUGGAUUUGGAAGAUGAUGGAAUCGAGGCAGAAGGAGCGAAGGCCAUCGCUGAAAUGCUGGAAAUUAACACUAACAUUGUUGAUGUGAAUCUUUCCGAGAACUGUAUAGGAAGCCAGGGCUUACGUGCAAUAUCUGACCUAAUGGUCAACAACCAAGUCAUCCAGUCGCUGGACAUCUCUGGCAGCAGUCUAGUCGAUAGCGACGCCCAUCUUCUUGCCAAGAUCUUGCAGAAUAACACCACAUUAAGGGAACUGAUACUAAGCCACAAUGGCAUCUGUGAACAAGGCGGCUACAUCCUCGCAACAGCAAUAGCCAAUAACGAUACACUAAGAAUUCUUGAUCUGAGUUGGAAUCAUCUGCGAGGAAAAGGUUCCUUGUCAAUCGCAGCGAGUCUGCAGAAAAAUAUAGGGCUGAGGAAGCUAGACAUAGCCUGGAACGGGUUCUCCAAAAACGACGCCAUAGUGUUGAGCAAAUCUCUGAAGGAGAACACGACUCUGAAGGAACUGGACAUCUCCCACAACCGUCUGGAGAAGGAGGCCCUGGGGUUUCUAAUGCAGGGGGUCAAAGAUAGCGACGGCCUGGAAAUUCUCAGGUUGGGAGGAAACUGCAUCACGCCCGAGCUUGCCAUGGUAAUCCUGACCUGUAUUGGCCAGUCCGAGACCUGCAGAGUCAAUCUACUGGACUUUGAGAACAAUGAAGUAGACGAAGAAUUCCUGACACUGUUAGACGACAUUCAGUCCACAAAGUCACUGGAAGUAGUGUAUGGUCACGUGAUAAAGCGGGAGAAUGGGCGUGGUCGUAAGGGUGAUGGGAUAGACGGUAAUCUGGACGCGGUCUAUGAGCUGUACAAGUACAUGAGUGAGCACAACUACCGGGUGAUCGACCUGAUGAAGUGGCUGGACAAGGACGGCAGCAUGAGCGUCAGUAGAGACGAGUUUAAACGGGGCAUGAUGACCGCGGAGGUUCCCCUGACGGAGCACCAGUUGGACGUCAUGCUGGACAAACUAGACAUGGAUGGAGACGGCGAGGUCGACUUCUCAAAACUGGAGAAACUUCUCAAUGGUAAGAUGGCUGUUGUAGUUAUACCGCUUAGAGCCAUCGGCUUCAGUAGCAAUAUCGGCAAUACAAGUAUUUAUAGUUUUUUGAUUUACUCUGAAAAAUACCUUGUUCGACUUCCUGUUCAAAUUUUCCAGAGAGCUGUUAAUUGGCGAGAGGGCGUUCAGGCGACAGUUGAGAAGAAAACAAGAGCGGGAAAAGGCGGCAAGGAAAGAGAAGAAAAACCUCCAAGGGAUAGACAAGAUCAUCCUGUCUUCACUGAGCGACAAAACCUAGAGUCCCAGGAGCCCGCGUGUUCCUCAUCAACCCCAUCCAUUACAGUGCACACAGACUGUCUGUCAAAUCUUUCAGGUUGUUGUAUAAGAUUAGUUUUAUCGUCAGUGCCACAUGGUAAACAACCUCAUCAUGGAUAUCAUGGCCAGAGAAUACGUCCUUAUCGUAACAGGACUAAGAUGCAAUAGUAAACUAAUGCACUGUGCGUCAUGAACCUGUGAUGAAUUAAAACAAUUAAGCCGAGAUGGCACUGAACAACCAUCAUGCAUCAGGUCACUAUCAUGAACCUAUGAUGUAUAUAACAAACAAUUAUCGUGCAUCGGAUCACUAUCAUGAACCUGUGAUGUAUUGAACAAGUAUCGUGAAUCGGAUCACUAUCAUGAACUUGUGAUCAAUUGAACAAGUAUCGUGCGUUCGAUUACUAUCACGAACCUGUGAUGAAUAGAACAAGUAUCGUGCAUCGGAUCGCUAUCAUGAACCUACGAUGUGUUGAACAAAUAUGAUGCAUUGGGUCACUUAUGAACUUGUCAUGCAUGAACAAGUAUCAUGUAACUAUCAUGAACUAGAGAUGCAUUGAACCAGAUGACACUGAGAAGUUUCAUUCAUCGAGUCACUAAUCACCAGACAUUAAAUGUUGGUAACUGUGAUGCUUACGAGAGGAAUGUAAAUAUUAUCGAAAAUCAUUAUGUAUUUAACUAAGUCCUCUAAUGUGUUUGCAUCCUAUUAUUUGGAAGAAAUUAAUAAAAGUACAAAAACUAAAGCAUUACUGUGUUCUUGAUUUAUUGUCUUUAACGAUGGUAUUAAAUCAUCGAGGACGACAAUGAUUUACUUAUAUUAAUCGUGCGAAAAUAUAAAUAUGAAAUUUGAGAAUGACCGCGAAGUAAGUAGCACUACCAUGACACAUACACAUACAUGUAAUUGAAAACACACCGCAACCAGCACAUAUAUUCCUACAUAGCUGAAGAAUGGUUAAUCUCAAAGUGUCCAAUAGUCUUAUGAUCACAUAUUUUCGGACCCCGUUGCAAACUAUCUAGAUCCAUUGUUACUGGCACAUCCAUAAAAUGUGGUCAUGUGAUGCACCACGUGUUCACACCGGUUCCUUUGGUGCGGUGUCGUCUGUUGUGGCUUCUCUCUCUCCCAACUCUACAUCCUUCUCUUCCUCCUCCACUUUUUCUUGUUUCUUCAAAGCAACUAGAUAGAAAAUGUCAAAGAAAUAAAAAAGAUUUUUCCGGAAAACUCGUUAAGAUGCUAAAUUAAUAUGAAAAAGUGCUAAACAGAUCAUAAGGAUAACAGUGGCUUAGUGGCUAACGUGAUCAAAUCUUCUUGGAGCCGUUCA